AUUGAACGCUGGCGGCAGGCCUAACACAUGCAAGUCGAACGAGUGGCGGACGGGUGAGUAAUGUCUGGGAAACUGCCCGACGGACGGGGAUAACUACUGGAAACGGUAGCUAAUACCGCAUACCAUCGGAUGUGCCCAGAUGGGAUUAGCUAGUAGGUGGGGAAACGGAUCACCUAGGCGACGAUCCCUAGCUGGUCUGAGAGGAUGACCAGCCACACUGGAACUGGGACACGGUCCAGACUACUACGGGAGGCAGCAGUGGGAAAUAUUACGCAAUGGGCGCAAGCCUGAUUCAGCCAUGCCGCGUGUAUGAAGAAGGCCUUCGGGUUGUAAAGUACUUUCAGCGAGGAGGCGUUACUCGCAGAAGAAGCACCGGCUAACUCCGUGCCAGCAGCCGCGGUAAUUC
rnacentral:rRNA from 1 species